rnacentral:rRNA from 1 species
UACGUAGGGGGCAAGCGUUAUCCGGAUUUACUGGGUGUAAAGGGAGCGUAGACGGUUAUGUAAGUCUGAUGUGAAAACCCGGGGCUCAACCCCGGGACUGCAUUGGAAACUAUGUAACUAGAGUGUCGGAGAGGUAAGUGGAAUUCCUAGUGUAGCGGUGAAAUGCGUAGAUAUUAGGAGGAACACCAGUGGCGAAGGCGGCUUACUGGACGAUGACUGACGUUGAGGCUCGAAAGCGUGGGGAGCAAACAGGAUUAGAUACC